rnacentral:rRNA from 1 species
UACGUAGGUGGCGAGCGUUGUCCGGAUUUACUGGGCGUAAAUGGAGCGUAGGCGGACUUUUAAGUGAGAUGUGAAAUACCCGGGCUCAACUUGGGUGCUGCAUUUCAAACUGGAAGUCUAGAGUGCAGGAGAGGAGAAUGGAAUUCCUAGUGUAGCGGUGAAAUGCGUAGAGAUUAGGAAGAACACCAGUGGCGAAGGCGAUUCUCUGGACUGUAACUGACGCUGAGGCUCGAAAGCGUGGGGAGCAAACAGGAUUAGAUA